rnacentral:rRNA from 1 species
AGCGAACGUUAGCGGCGCGCCUAACACAUGCAAGUCGUACGAGAAAGGGCUUCGGCCCCGGUAAAGUGGCGAACGGGUGCGUAACACGUAGGUAACCUUCCCCGGAGCGGGGGAUAACAGACCGAAAGGUUUGCUAAUACCGCAUAAGACUACGACCUGAAACGGUUGGAGUUAAAGCUGGCCUCUUCUUGAAAGCUAGCACUUUCGGAAUGAGCCUGCGGCCCAUCAGCUUGUUGGUAAGGUAAUGGCUUACCAAGGCAAAGACGGGUAGCUGGUCUGAGAGGAUGAUCAGCCACACUGGCACUGAAACACGGGCCAGACUCCUACGGGA